rnacentral:rRNA from 1 species
UACGAAGGGGACUAGCGUUGUUCGGAAUCACUGGGCGUAAAGCGCACGUAGGCGGAUAUGUCAGUCAGGGGUGAAAUCCCGGGGCUCAACCUCGGAACUGCCUUUGAUACAACAUGUCUUGAGUCCGAUAGAGGUGGGUGGAAUUCCUAGUGUAGAGGUGAAAUUCGUAGAUAUUAGGAAGAACACCGGUGGCGAAGGCGGCCCACUGGAUCGGUACUGACGCUGAGGUGCGAAAGCGUGGGGAGCAAACAGG